rnacentral:rRNA from 1 species
UUUUAAGCUUCUACACCUAAAUUUUUUCUUAAUCCAACAUCGAGGUCGCAAUCUAUUUUAUCAAUAUGAACUCUCCAAAAUAAUUACGCUGUUAUCCCUAAAGUAACUUAUUUUUUUAUUCAUUAAAAAUUAAUCAAAUAUUCAUAAAUCAAUGAAAUUAAUAUAAUAAAAGUUCAUUAAAUUUUAUUAUCUCCCCAACAAAAUAUAAUAUUUAUAUAUACUUAUAAUUUUCUAAAUAAAUAAAUAUAUAAAUAAAUUAUAUAAAGAUUUAUAGGGUCUUCUCGUCUUUUAAAAAUAUUUUAGCUUUUUAACUAAAAAAUAAAAUUCUAAUUUAUUUUUAUUUAGACAGUUUAUAUUUCAUCCAACCAUUCAUUCCAGUUUUCAAUUAAAAAACUAAUGAUUAUGCUACCUUUGUACAGUCAAUAUACUGCAGCCAUUUAAUUAAUCAGGGGGCAGGUCAAACCUUAUAUUUUAUCAUAAAGAGAUGUUUUU